GAUGAACGCUAGCUACAGGCUUAACACAUGCAAGUCGAGGGACCGGCGCACGGGUGAGUAACGCGUAUCCAACCUACCCAAUACUCAGGCAUAACCCGUUGACAGACGGACUAAUUCCUGAUGGUAUUGGAUUGGGAUGCGUCUGAUUAGUUUGUUGGUGAGGUAACGUCUCACCAAGACUUCUAUCAGUAGGGGUUGUGAGAGGAAGGUCCACCAAAUUGGAACUGAGACACGGUCCAAAAGCCUACGGGAGGCAGCAGUGAGGAAGAUUGGUCAAUGGAUGCAGAUCUGAACCAGCCAAGUGGCGUGCAGAAUGACGGGCUAUGGGUUGUAAACUGCUUGUAUGUGAGAAUAUGUAUCACAUGAAUAAGGACCGGCUAAUUCCGUGCCAGCAGCCGCGGUAAUUC
rnacentral:rRNA from 1 species